rnacentral:misc_RNA from 1 species
GAUGAAGAACGUAGUGAAAUGCGAUAAGUAAUGUGAAUUGCAGAAUUCAGUGAAUCAUGGAAUCUUUGAACGCACAUUGCGCCCCUUGGUAUUCCGAGGGGCAUGCCUAUUCGAGCGUCAUUAUCACCCCUCAAGCCUAGCUUGGUGUUGAGGCCUGCUGUCAAGGCAGCCUCUAAAAUCAGUGGCAGUGCUGUCAGGCUCUAAGCGUAGUAAAUCUAAUCGCUAUAGACACCUGGUGGACACUCGCCAGAACCCCCCCCCAUUUUUUAAUGAUUGACCUCGGAUUAGGUAGGGAUACCCGCUGAACUUAAGCAUAUCAAUAAGCGGAGGA